GGCUCAGGAUGAACGCUGGCGGCGUGCCUAACACAUGCAAGUCGAACGGGACUUAUUGAGACGAUUUCGGUCUGAUCUUAAGUUUAGUGGCGGACGGGUGAGUAACGCGUGGACAACCUGCCUUUCACAGGGGGAUAGCAGCUGGAAACGGCUGGUAAUACCGCAUACGCUCGUGUCACCGCAUGGUGAUAUGAGGAAAGAUUUAUCGGUGAAAGAUGGAUCCGCGUCUGAUUAGCCAGUUGGCGGGGUAACGGCCCACCAAAGCGACGAUCAGUAGCCGGCCUGAGAGGGCGGACGGCCACAUUGGGACUGAGACACGGCCCAGACUCCUACGGGAGGCAGCAGUGGGGGAUAUUGCACAAUGGGCGCAAGCCUGAUGCAGCGACGCCGCCGUGAGUGAAGAAGUAUUUCGGUAUGUAAAGCUCUAUCAGCAGGGAAGAAAGGCCCGCAAGGGAGAUGACGGUACCUGACUAAGAAGCCCCGGCUAACUACGUGCCAGCCGCCGC
rnacentral:rRNA from 1 species